rnacentral:rRNA from 1 species
GAUGAACGCUGGCGGCGUGCCUAAUACAUGCAAGUCGAGCGAACAGACGAGGAGCUUGCUCCUCUGACGUUAGCGGCGGACGGGUGAGUAACACGUGGAUAACCUACCUAUAAGACUGGGAUAACUUCGGGAAACCGGAGCUAAUACCGGAUAAUAUAUUGAACCGCAUGGUUCAAUAGUGAAAGACGGUUUUGCUGUCACUUAUAGAUGGAUCCGCGCCGCAUUAGCUAGUUGGUAAGGUAACGGCUUACCAAGGCAACGAUGCGUAGCCGACCUGAGAGGGGGAGCGGCCACACUGGAACUGAGACAGGGUCCAGACUCCUACGGAAGGCAGCAGUAGGGAAUUGUCCGCAAUGGGCGAAAACCUGACGGAGCAACGCCGGGGGAGUGAUGAAGGUUUUCGGAUCGAAAAACUCUGUUAUUAGGGAAAAACAAAUGGGAAAGUAAAUAUGCACGUCUUGACGGUACCUAAGCAGAAAGCAACGGCUAACUACGG